rnacentral:rRNA from 1 species
CCUACGGGUGGCUGCAGUGAGGAAUAUUGGUCAAUGGCCGAAAGGCUGAACCAGCCAAGUCGCGUGAAGGAUGACUGCCCUAUGGGUUGUAAACCUCUUUUAUAUGGGAAGAAUAAAUUCCACGUGUGGGAUGUUGUAUGUACCAUAUGAAUAAGCAUCGGCUAACUCCGUGCCAGCAGCCGCGGUAAUACGGAGGAUACGAGCGUUAUCCGGAUUUAUGGGGUUAAAAGGGUGUGUAGGGGGUUUGUUAAGUCAGUGGGUAAAUGUCGGGGCUACACCUUGAAUUGCAAGUGAUACUGUAAGACUCGAGUAAAGAAGAGGUAGGCGGAAUACGUGGAGGAGCGGUGAAAUGCUUAGAUAUAACGAAGAACUCCGAUUGAGAAGGCAGUUUACCGGACUGCAACUGACGCUGAGGCACGAGAGCGUGGGUAGCGAACAGGAUUAGAUACCCGUGUAGUC